CGCGCUACAAUGGCCGGUACAAUGCGAAGCGAAGCAGUGACGUGAAGCAAAUCGCACCAAAGCCGGUCCCAGUUCGGAUAAGAGGCUGAAACUCGCCUCUUUGAAGUCGGAAUCGCUAGUAAUCGCAGAUCAGCAUGUUGCGGUGAAUACGUUCCCGGGUCUUGUACACACCGCCCGUCAAACCAUGAGAGUCACCAACACCCGAAGUCCGCUUUGGCGGCCUAAGGGUGGGGGAGAUGAUUGGGGUUAAGUCGUAACAAGGUACC
rnacentral:rRNA from 1 species